rnacentral:lncRNA from 7 species
ACAUUGCCUUUAAUAUUCUCCUAAAUCACCUCCCCACCGCACUUCAAGGGCCAUUGCUACAAUAUCACAGCCAAUUAUUUUCGCCUUUUAAAGCCUGAUGGAAGCGAGCAGCCGCCCGCGUUCGGCUCUGCCCGUGACCUGUGAAGAGGGCUGGGUGGUAAUUGUGCACAUGUGUGCGAGGAGCCGAGCUAUGGAGCAGCUCGGAGGAGGAAAGCAGGAGGAGAAAGAGAGCGGCGGGCUGCAGGAUUUUGGUGCACGGCGCUUUGCUGGCUGUGAAUCGCCCCAUUUCUCCCUCGCUUUUAACCUCUGAUUUGCUGCUGUCCCAUAGAGGAGCACUGGAAGGGUCGGGGUGUUGGGGUCACACCUUUGGGAACGGCACAGCAUUGGAUUCCUGGGGCUGAUGGCCAUAGAGUUACGGCAAAGGGAAACUUUCCCUUGGAGCCCAGGACGGGGACGAUGAGUCCCAUCCAUCCCUAUUAACUCAUCUCUAAUGAAAGCAGCCCGUAUGUGACAUUUGGCAAUAGAGAGGCUUUAAAUG